rfam:Asian citrus Psyllid, Diaphorina citri - Florida Strain, whole genome shotgun sequence.
GCCAGCGACAAUAGCGAGUUGAAUGCGCCAGGUCUCAACAGAUCACUGCUGUUAAGCAACGUCGCAUAUGGUUGGUAACCGGAUGGGUUAUCUGGGCACUAGCCUACUGCUAGCU